rnacentral:rRNA from 1 species
AGAGUUGAUCCUGGCUCAGGAUGAACGCUAGCUACAGGCUUAACACAUGCAAGUCGAGGGGCAGCAUUGGAGUAGCAAUACUCAGAUGGCGACCGGCGCACGGGUGAGCAACACGUAUCCAACCUGCCGCUUACUCGGGGAUAGCCUUUCGAAAGAAAGAUUAAUACCCGAUGGUAUAAAGAGUUCGCAUGUUCUCUUUAUUAAAGAAUUUCGGUAAGCGAUGGGGAUGCGUUCCAUUAGAUAGUUGGCGGGGUAACGGCCCACCAAGUCUACGAUGGAUAGGGGUUCUGAGAGGAAGGUCCCCCACAUUGGAACUGAGACACGGUCCAAACUCCUACGGGAGGCAGCAGUGAGGAAUAUUGGUCAAUGGACGAGAGUCUGAACCAGCCAAAAGUAGCGUGAAGGAUGACUGCCCUAUGGGUUGUAAACUUCUUUUAUAAGGGAAUAAAGUGAGGGACGUGUCCCUUUUUGUAUGUACCUUAUGAAUAAGGAUCGGCUAACUCCGUGCCAGCCGCCGC